rnacentral:rRNA from 1 species
UGGGGAAUUUUGGACAAUGGGCGCAAGCCUGAUCCAGCAAUGCCGCGUGCAGGAUGAAGGCCUUCGGGUUGUAAACUGCUUUUGUACGGAGCGAAAAGGUCUGCCCUAAUACGGUGGGCUCAUGACGGUACCGUAAGAAUAAGCACCGGCUAACUACGUGCCAGCAGCCGCGGUAAUACGUAGGGUGCAAGCGCUAAUCGGAAUUACUGGGCGUAAAGCGUGCGCAGGCGGUUAUGCAAGACAGAUGUGAAAUCCCCGGGCUUAACCUGGGAAUUGCAUUUGUGACUGCAUCGCUGGAGUGAGGCAGAGGGGGAUGGAAUUCCGCGUAUAGCAGUGAAAUGCGUAGAUAUGCGGAGGAACACCGAUGGCGAAGGCAAUCCCCUGGGCCUGCACUGACGCUCAUGCACGAAAGCGUGGGGAGCGAACA